AUACUUACCUGGCGUGGGGGCUACCGUGAUCAAGAAGGCGGUUCCCCCAGGGCGAGGCCCUUCCAUUGCACUCCGGUUGGGCUGACCCCUGCGAGUAUCUCAAAUGUAGAUACCUCGGGCGCGUAAUUUUUUGGGAGUCGGGACUGCGUUCGCGCUGUCCCGGA
rnacentral:snRNA from 1 species